rnacentral:rRNA from 1 species
UCCGGUUGAUCCUGCCRGACCCGACUGCUAUCAGAGUGAGAUUAAGCCAUGCGAGUCAACGUAGCAAUACGUGGCACACGGCUCAGUAACACGUAGUCAACAUAACCAAAGGACGUGGAUAAACUCGGGAAACUGAGGCUAAACCGCGAUAGACCAAGAUACCUGGAAUGGUUUUUGAUUAAAAUCUAUAUGGCCUUUGGAUUGGACUGCGACCGAUCAGGCUGUUGGUGAGGUAAUGGCCCACCAAACCUGUAACCGGUACGGGCUCUGAGAGGAGGAGCCCGGAGAUGGGUACUGAGACAAGGACCCAGGCCCUAUGGGGCGCAGCAGGCGCGAAACCUCUGCAAUAGGCGAAAGCCUGACAGGGUUACUCUGAGUGACUUUCGCUAAGAAAGUCUUUUGGCACCUCUAAGAAGGGUGCAGAAUAAGGGGUGGGCAAGUCUGGUGUCAGCCGCCGCGGUAAUACCAGCACCCCGAGUGGUCGGGACGAUUAUUGGGCCUAAAGCAUCCGUAGCCGGUUCUGCAAGUCCUCCGUUAAAUCCAGCUGCUUAACAGAUGGGCUGCGGAGGAUACUACAGAGCAAGGAGGCAGGAGAGGCAAGCGGUACUCAGUGGGUAGGGGUAAAAUCCGUUGAUCCAUUGAAGACCACCAGUGGCGAAGGCGGCUUGCCAGAAUGCGCUCGACGGUGAGGGAUGAAAGCUGGGGGAGCAAACCGGAUUAGAUACCCGGGUAGUCCCAGCCGUAAACGAUGCAGACUCGGUGAUGGGUUGGCUUCGCGCUAACCCAGUGCCGCAGGGAAGCCGUUAAGUCUGCCGCCUGGGUAGUACGGUCGCAAGACUGAAACUUAAAGGAAUUGGCGGGGGAGCACCACAAGGGGUGAAGCCUGCGGUUCAAUUGGAKUCAACGCCGGR